AUUGAACGCUGGCGGCAUGCCUUACACAUGCAAGUCGAACGGCAGCAUAGGAGCUUGCUCCUGAUGGCGAGUGGCGAACGGGUGAGUAAUAUAUCGGAACGUGACCUAGAGUGGGGGAUAACUAGUCGAAAGACUAGCUAAUACCGCAUAAGAUCUACGGAUGAAAGUGGGGGAUCGCAAAACCUCAUGCUCCUGGAGCGGCCGAUAUCUGAUUAGCUAGUUGGUGGGGUAAAAGCUCACCAAGGCGACGAUCAGUAGCUGGUCUGAGAGGACGACAGCCACACUGGGACUGAGACACGGCCCAGACUCCUACGGGAGGCAGCAGUGGGGAAUUUUGGACAAUGGGGGCAACCCUGAUCCAGCAAUGCCGCGUGAGUGAAGAAGGCCUUCGGGUUGUAAAGCUCUUUUGUCAGGGAAGAAACGGUUCUGGAUAAUACCUGGGACUAAUGACGGUACCUGAAGAAUAAGCACCGGCUAACUACGUGCCAGCAGCCGCCGUAAAAC
rnacentral:rRNA from 1 species